rnacentral:lncRNA from 1 species
GUCCUUUGAAAUAAUGUCCUUUUGUGACUCUAUUUCAUAAAAGCUGAAUUACACAGUUCACUUGUGCCAGGAGAUGACCCUCAGAGUCUUGUUGGGUGUUAGAGCAGUCCAAGAAAAGCAGGGCUGCCCUGAUAUGCUACUGGCCCCUUCCUUCAUCCUCAGUUCACCAUGGCCUUGAAUAUUAUUCUAAAGGUUUGGGAUGAGGUUGAUUUCACUUUCAAACUCUAAUUUCAAAAGACAACAGAACAGAAAGCUAAGGAGAAUUCUGGAAUACCAUGCCACCUCUCCCCAUGUUCAUGCCUGGGGACCUUCUCUAUUGCAUCAUAUGGAAAAAUGCUGGCAAAAAGAAUUCUGUUGCUUUCUUCACUCACAUCUUUAUCCAUUCACCCUGUGUGGAGGAAGGGGAAGUUGCUAGUCCCAGAGGAAAGAACUUGAGAGAAUGAGCUUCAUCCACCACUAGUUGUACUUACUGGGUUCACAUUACCUGUCCCAGUGCCUGGGCCCAAGCAGGUGGCUGUGGGAGAUGGCAGGAGAUUUCCAAGCUUGCCAGGAGGAAGGCCAUUAUCACUGACAUUGUCUAAAAUUAUCAGCACAUGAUGAUAAUAAAAAGCAGAGGACUUCUGGUCAAUGUUAUUAAUGUCUUUAAAUUCUCUGCAGACCAUGCACUUCUCACUGGAUGCAUCACCAAGACGUAUCACCAAGAUGUACCACCUUGUCUUGGUAUAUCACUGAGGAGGGGUCUCCUAGGCUUCCCUCAGCCACCCCAAACCAUAUCCCACAUCAGUUAACUUCUCAAUCUCCCUCUCCACACUCUAGCUGACACCAUCAUCUGUUCUUUCUUCUGGACUUCUGUGAAGGUUUCCUCAUGUCCUCUCUACAUCCUCAUUGCCCAUCCAUUCCAUCCUCAUCAAAGAAACCAGAGCAAGAUUUUUAAAUGUUUCUCCCAUACCUUCCUAUUACACUUAGAAUGGAACCCAGCCUCUUAACCCUGAAAGGCCUGACCUCUUGGCUCCUGCCUCAAUCUCAAACUCCAUGCCUCCCUUUUGCCUCCUGUCUCCUAAGCUUCAGUCACAAUGGUUGUCUUGGUGUGACUGAGCUGAAAUAACAAAACACUAGACUGGUGGCUUAACCAACAGACAUUUAUUUUCUCAUAGUGCUGGAGGCUGGAAGCCAAAGAUCACAAUGGUGGCAGGUUUGGUUUCCCCCAUGACCUCUCUUCUUGGCUUGAAGAGGGCUGCCUUCUCAAGUGUCCUCACACCCUCACAUGGCCUUCCUUCCAUGCACAUGUUUGGUGUCUCUUCCUCUUCUUAUAAGGAUACCAGUCAUACUGGCUAAGAGCCCUGUCCUCAUGACCUCAUUAACUGUAAGUACCUCUUUAAAGGCUCUGUCUUCAAAUAUAGUCACAUGGAGGGGUUAAAACUUCAAUAUACCAACUGGGGAGGACACAAUUCACUCGAUAACACUGGUCCUCCUGCCUGCCACAGGACCUUUGCCCAAGCUACACCCUCUGCUUGGAGGGCCCUUCCAGGUCUUUGCAUAGCCACCUCUUUCCUGUUAUUCAUUAUUCAGCCCAAAUAUCACCUCUUCAGAUAGAGACUCUGGCGUCCUAAUUAAAUAGCUACGUCCCCCACUAUGUUCCCACUAGCACAUAGUAGAUGCCUAAUACACAUGAAUUAAAAGAAGCAAACAGAAUGCCUUCAGAGUUAAACUAGUAAAUCAAUCCAUAAUGAGGUAAGUAAGAAAGCUUUCAAAAGUGAAAAAUAAACUACAAUUAGUGCCUAAAGAUCUUUCUCUGGUGAAGUGAGCAGAGUAUAGGUCCAGACCAAGUGGCAGGGAAUUAGGGAGUAAAAAUAUUGACAAAGCUAUUGCUGAAGCACCUUCCAAACAAAUGGCAGUUGCUUAUGCCACCACCAGCAGCACAUGCAUGUGCUGGGUUCCCCAUCCUGAUGAUGAAAUGUGGGAUCAAACUUACAAAUAUUUAUCAAUUUUAUGAGUAAAAGCACCUUGUUUUGAUUUUCAUUUCUUUAAUUAUGAGUAUGCAUUGAAUAUCUUUUCAUUUGCUUAUUAACCAGUUGUAUUUCUUUUCCUGUCAUAAACCUUUACCAUUAUUUAGUUUUAUAUAUAUUUUUAUCUUCUACUUAUUGAUGCAUAAGAACACUUUGAACCUAAACAAAAUACGUUAUCAAGCUAAAAAAUAUGCAUGUAUUCUUUGACCCAGGAAUUAUACAUCUAGGAAUUUAGCCCACAGACAGACUUGCCAUCAUGCACAAAAACAUAACUGUAGUUUUGUUGUAAUAGUCCUAGAUGAAAGCUGUUUAAAGGUUAAUAGGGAUAGGUUAUAUAAAUUAUGUCAUACAUAUAGACAGAACAUUAAACAGCUGAACAAAAGAUUACAGUAAAUCUCCAUGUUCAAAAUACAUUAAAAUAAAAACAAACUGGAGAAUAAUAGUUAUAGGUUGAUUCCACUUGUGUUUUUCAAAAUGUUAUUUUCUAAACAUAGAAAAUACCUAAAACGAAACUAAUAGUGGUUGGUAGUAACAGUAAUAAAAAGGGAGUGAGUGAGAAAAUUACCAACAUUCCAUUUUAAAGGUAAGUCCUCCUUUUAGGCUAAAAUGGGUUUUGGGGUUGUCGUUUCAUGUUUGUUUUUGUCUUGCUCUGUUCACUAGCACAGGCCUUGGAGAAGCAAAUCUCUUUUGUCUCUCCAUUUCUCUGCAGACACUCAAAGUUUCAGCAACUGUCCAGAGAUUCCUCCACUACCCAUUUCCUUAAAAAUAUAUGAUUUUUCUUCACAUUUUUCUAGAAUCGAUCUUUACUCAUCAAGAAGCAUUAUUUUUGCAUCAGCCCCUCCCCUUGCCACACAUUAAGCAUAGCUGGGGUGAGGCUGUGUGCAUCUUCUCAUGGGACUUGCCAGUCUGCAGACAAUAUUCUGCCACUGAAGACACAUUACAGGAAUUUUAAUUGCAUGAGAGCAUUUCCACAAAAAGCAACGGCUUACAGUGUGAAAACUGAGUGUGUAUAGCCUGGAGACCUUGGAAUUCUUGCCAGAUUUAAAGAGGUUUCCACUGGAGUAAGCUGUUCUGCAAGUAUCUGGCAUCUAAAACAACUGCUUUUUUGGUAGUCUCUGUCUCCACUUUCCAGCUGUGCAUCCCCAGAAAAGUAUGACUUACUGCAUCCAAGACACACUCCUCACACCCAGGACCUAUGCUCAAGCCAUUAAACCAUGCUGGUUCCUAAGAGCAUCUCUUCACCAGUAAACAAACCAAACACUCCAUCGUAUGUGAACAUGCCGGGGGGAAUGAAUGGGGGCCCCAACAUGGAAUAAGUGGUCUCUCUUGCUGGGAAUUAUACUAACAAAUACACUUGAGGCACAAUCACGGAAUCUCACAAAACCAAAGAGAUAAAGGCAUAAAAAAUGUUUUGUCUUCUUUUUUUCUUUUUUACUUGCAAGGCUUAAAGAAGACAAGAAUAGGUAAGUGGAACCUGUAUGGCAAAGUAUAACUUUGGAGUAGGUGUGGUUCAGGGUGUUGAAAUUAAAGCAGCCUUACCUCAUCUCCAACACCAUUUUCCAAUAGAUGCUUCCAAAUCUACUCUGAUUAGAGGGUUAGCCUCAUGUCCAAUGAAAGAAAACCACCCCUCCCUGGCAUCCACACCUCUCCUAGAUUUCCAAACACUGAGAAUAAGGCUGCCCAUCUCAUGUCUUACGCCAUCAUUGACAGGAGUAAGAGAGAGUCUUAGGAUGCUUCUGGAAAGACCUCCACAGCCCAUUGCUCUACAACAUUCCAAGCCUUGUCCUCAAUAUCUACUUUGAGAACAUUUAAGUAAACCUCAUUGUGCUGUUUCUUCAGAUGGAUAUCAGGUCCCACAAGAAGUCAGAACUCCUAAUUUUAUCUCUAAUCUCCCUGGACUCUUUCUUCAACUAUUUCUGUAGUUUCCUUUAUGUCAUCAUGCCCAAUUCAUGGAAUCUUUCAACACUGCCUUCUGGAAAUCAUGCUCAGUGAUUACCUUCUUCUAGUUCUUCUCAGAACUUUCCUUUCACUUCUUGCUCUAAAUGAACUGAGUCUUCUCUCAGGAAACUACUUGCCUUUCACCCAGCCCUCUGUGGUAGUGGCUGUUUUACCUUGCAAGACUCUUGCAAUAUCAGGCCUAGAAGUGUGGUAGGUGUCUUUCUGGUUUCAUAUUGUCUCCCUCCCACCACACGAACAACAACCACCACCACCCUCAUCUCUGAAUUUAAAACCAUUAGUCUUUAUUGAUCACUGUUUCAACUUGUUGCAGUCACCUACAGACCCCCCAGGUUAUUCUCCUAAUACCUUGAAAUUUUUAACUCCUGGCUCACUGCCAUCUCUUCAUCAUAUUUGGUGACUUUCUAACAUUUCUAACAUUCUAGACUCUCAGUUUCCUGAUGCCCAAUCCUCCAACUCUCAAAUCCUCUAUUCUUCCUAAACUACUUAUGCCAAGGUGACACCCAAGACUUGUCAUCACCAGCAAAUAUAACACCUCCAACAUUGCAAUUUCAAGCAUUGUUUCUUUCCAGCUCAUUCUUGCUAAGACCCCAACUCUAAGGAACUCUGGCUCCACUAGGAGCUAUUAGGCAUUAACCACAUAUUUUCAUGGUCCCUGGGUCCCCCACCUCACCUAGUUUGUGAUAGCCCAUCAUUAUAUUACACCUUUUCACAUAUUCUUAGCAAUCUUGUCUCAUAGUUUUCACCUGAAAAAUCCCUAGGCCAGAUUAAAUCCUAUCAGCUUUCUCUAUGCACCCACAGAGAAGGUCAUGACUGGAGAAAGCUACAAAGCUUGCUGACUAACAUCAUUUUAAAUUCCUAACCAGGUCCUCAAAGAGGUCCUUCUUUCUGCCCAUCAAUCACAAAACAUUUCCAUAAUCCAUCACUCUCCUAUUACCCUGAAAAAGUGGUCAUCAAACUUGAGACCUGAGACAGAGUAAGCCUACCACAGAUGUAUAUCUCAUGACUUUUUCUUUUCUCUUAGUCUUUUUUGUUUUGUUUUGUUUUGUUUUGUUUUUCAGGGCUGUACCUAUGGCAUAUGGAAGUUCCCAGGCUAGGGACUGAAUCAGAGCUGCGGCUGUCAGCCACAGCCACAGCCACACCAGAUCCAAGCUAUGUCUGCGACCUAUACCACAGCUUACGGCAACACCAGAUCCCCGACACAAUGAGCAAGGCCAAGGGUUGAACCUGUAUCCGCAUGGAUACUAGUUGGAUUAAUUUCCACUGCACCACAACAAGAAUUUCCACUCUCAGACUUCUAACACAUUCCCCAUCUUCACAUGCAAUGACUUUAUUUCUACGCACGCGCGCACACACACACACACACACACAAUAUCUGAAUAUAGUUUUUGAAGCUCCCAACACUAACCUCCUUUGUUAUCUGGAGUGGUGCCCUUGUGAUUUCUUCCUGCUUCAGUGGGUGAACUGUUUAUUCUCCUCUCUAUAGCCAACCUUUCACAUGUAUACCAGACUCCAUCUCCCCUCUCUAAGGUCACCCUAACUCCUGAAACUUCCUCUCCAAGCUUUCUCUGCAUCAUGAAUUUCUCCCUCUCUACGGGUCAUCUCUGUGGAUGUCAAGCAUCUUGAAGAAAACCCUCUCAUGACCCCACAUUUUCUUCUAUCUCCCCAUAUACAAGAACAUCCCAUGAAUAUAUGGUCUCCUUUCUAUAAAUUCACUGGGUACACUCCUGCCUCACAGCCUUUGACUUGAUAUUAUCUCUAACUGGAAGAUUCUACAAGGCUGACUUCAUCUUCUCCUUAAUGGUCUUCAUCAAGUGUCAUCUUCUCAUGACACUUUCCCUGACUCCAGCCCCUCUGUCCCUUACUGAUUACCAGUCCCCACCCCUCUUCUCUCAUUUAUUGCUUGGGAUUCAGCCUUAGUUGGAAUCAGGUAAUAAUUGACAUUAAUCAAACUAACAACAUCUUUCAGGUAAGGCCACUGAGAACUCUUUCUGACCACAUGUGAAUUGUCAAGGCCUUUCUAAAGAAAAUAUGUAUCUGCUAUUCCUUCAUCCUCUUUGUUUACAAAAUUUGUGAUGAGUCUUAAAACCAAGUGGCGGAGUUCCUGUCGUGGCGCAGUGGUUAACAAAUCUGGCUAGGAACCAUAAGGUUGCAGGUUCGAUCCCUGGCCUUGCUCAGUGGGUUAAGGAUCCAGCGUUGCUGUGAGCUGUGGUGUAGGUCGCAGAUGAGGUGUGGCUGUGGCUGUGGUGUAGGCCAGCAGCUGUAGCUCUGAUUAGACCCCCAGCCUGGGAACCUCCAUAUGCAGAGGGAGCAGCCCUAGAAAAGGCAAAAAG